UAGUCAGUCUGCGUGGCGUGGGGUGCGGAUGGAGUGGCUUUCACGGAGGAAAGCUCAGGUGGGGGCCGUGGGGCUGCUGGAACCUGACUCCCUGACUUGAAAACAACAAAAAGCGAGUAGGCUGGUUCCUGUUUUGGAGAAAAAAACUAGGAUAGAGGCGUAGCAGCACUGUACGCCCACUACUGUUCCAGCCUCCUUUUUCUUCACCUCGACAUAAAGAGUAAAUAUUCAGCCACUCCAUCGCACACCCCGCGCCACGCAGACUGGACA
rnacentral:lncRNA from 1 species